CCUACGGGGUGCUGCAGUGGGGAAUAUUGGACAAUGGGGGCAACCCUGAUCCAGCCAUGCCGCGUGUGUGAAGAAGGCCCUCGGGUUGUAAAGCACUUUCAGUGAGGAAGAACGCCUGGUGGUUAAUACCCAUCAGGAAAGACAUCACUCACAGAAGAAGCACCGGCUAACUCCGUGCCAGCAGCCGCGGUAAUACGGAGGGUGCGAGCGUUAAUCGGAAUUACUGGGCGUAAAGCGCGCGUAGGUGGCUUGAUAAGCCGGUUGUGAAAGCCCCGGGCUCAACCUGGGAACGGCAUCCGGAACUGUCAAGCUAGAGUGCAGGAGAGGAAGGUAGAAUUCCCGGUGUAGCGGUGAAAUGCGUAGAGAUCGGGAGGAAUACCAGUGGCGAAGGCGGCCUUCUGGACUGACACUGACACUGAGGUGCGAAAGCGUGGGUAGCAAACAGGAUUAGAUACCCUUGUAGUC
rnacentral:rRNA from 1 species